rnacentral:lncRNA from 10 species
UGGGAGAAAAGCCAAGCAAGUGCUGAAAGAGAAGGAAAGAAACAUUCUCCGGAGGACAGGAGGAAACUGCACACCCUCCACUCACCUCUAGCACCCUUUCGGCUUUCUGUCUCUCGUUGUUUGCUUUCUUUUCCUGUAGGAAGAGGAAGACAGAGCUCUUACCAGGGGGAGGCAGAGAUGGCACAGCAAGAGACAUGCCCCCAGAAUGCCACCAAUGCCCCAGGACAGGCCCACCCAUGGGACCAGGUUAUCAGGGGCCCUGUGGGGAUGGGGUGGAAUCUGAGGGGUGAGCCUUCUUCCCCAGGCUGGGAGUGGGUGAGACGAGACUGGGGCCUCUAUGUCUGAGUGCCCCCCAAACCCAGCAGUCAUGUCGCGAGGAAACGAAAUCACGUUACUUCUUCCAGCUGAUGUUCCACUUGUUUCUUCUGUUGUUUCUGUGGGGAGAGUCAAAUAAGGUGAUGGAGGGUGGCCCCCUCAACUCUAUUCCCCAGAUCAGGAAGCGGUAGGCAGGGGCCAGGAAUGGAUUUUAAAGGCAAAGUUCUCAGACAUAAUGGGAACACGAACCGGUAAACUCUCCUCAAGCUCCCAAGGACAGAGGAUUUGGGUCUUUGUUGGCUUUUGCCCACAGCCACAGAACUCAGUCUGAAUCUGGAAUCUCUUGAGAGGACAGCAACAUAAACCUCUAGAGAUGGAGUUUCAGAAAGGCCCCUCCUUCUGGCAGCUUGUGAUUUAGAAAAGUGGGUUCAUUCAAUAAACACUUACUGAGCACGUAUGGGCCAGGUACGGUUCUUCACAGCAGAUAUAGGAUGGAAAAGGACAGACAGGAGCCCUUAGCCCUGAGGUUUCCAUUCCCGGGGGCCUUUAAAUCUCAGACUCGAGAGCUAACAGAGACCUUUGAUACUCACUACCUCCUCUGGAAACACGAGCCCAAAAAGGAGAGGUGGCUUGUCCAGAAUCAAAGAGCAAAUUAGGGACUGAGUCAUGGCAGAAAUACGGGGCCCUUGACAACCAGUCAGGCUAGCACUUCCCCAAGAGGCAACAACCCCAGGGCGUGUGUAGCAAGGACUCGAGCAGGGGUGUCUGGAGAGGAGAGAGUCGGCAAAGAGGGCAGCAAAAGAAGAGCCAUGCUGCAUGCUCUGGGGUCCCUCCAGGUGAGGCCUGGGCACCCAAGCUCCCUAUUUGUCCCGGGCACCAGGGACCCCCAGCCCCUUUCUUCAGGGCCCCAAGGGGAAACUGGAGCCCAGGAUUGGCAGCGUGGAAUCAGGGGACCCCACCGGACUCUUACCAAAGAUUUGAUGGUGUUCUUCAGUCGACUGAUUUUUACGGACGUUGAAUCCAGGACUACUGCUCGUUCUUGGCACGGGCUCUGAGGUGCAUGCAGAGAGGAGGAGGUGGAGCAGGAGUGGGGAGAGAGGUAGAGAGAACGAUCGUUAGGGCUGGGGUGUGUGGGCUGUCUCAGCUGGCAGAGGGGCACCCAGUCCCACCUGGAGGAGGAGGUUGGAGGGUUGACCCGAAGGGUCACUGCACCUCCACCCAGAGCCUCUUACCUCCAGAUCUUUCAGGGUAGCAGAUGAUGUAGGGCCUUCCCUGUGGAAACCUGUUGCUGACUACAAGAGAUGAGAGUGC